GGAUAGCUCAGUUGGUUAGAGCAUGGUUCUGAUAACGCCAAGGUUGCAGGUUUGAUUCCCGUGUGGGACA